rnacentral:rRNA from 1 species
CCUACGGGAGGCAGCAGUGAGGAAUAUUGGUCAAUGGACGAGAGUCUGAACCAGCCAAGUAGCGUGACGGAUGACUGCCCUAUGGGUUGUACACUUCUUUUAUCAAGGAAUAAAACGAGGCACGUGUGCCUUUUUGCAUGUACUUUAUGCAUAAGGAUCGGCUAACUCCGUGCCAGCAGCCGCGGUAAUACGGAGAAUCCGAGCGUUAUUCGGAUUUAUUGGGUUUAAAGGGAGCGUAGAUGGGUUGUUAAGUCAGUUGUGAAAGUUUGCGGCUCAACCGUAAAAUUGCAAUUGAUACUGGCAGUCUUGAGUACAGGUGAGGUAGGCGGAAUUCGUGGUGUAGCGGUGAAAUGCUUAGAUAUCACGAAGAACCCCGAUUGCGAAGGCAGCUUACUAAACUGUGACUGACAUUGAUGCUCGAAAGUGUGGGUAUCAAACAGGAUUAGAGACCCGGGUAGUC